rnacentral:lncRNA from 1 species
CUUGAUUUCCUCAGACAGCAAACAGCAUCAUCCAACAAUAUCACCGACCCCCCUACAAUUGUGGGUUCUGCAUUACCUCUAAAGGGUCAAUCUCAAAUAUAUAAACAUAUCAUUUCAAGCAGCCCCAAAACUCUUCAAAGUCCUCCGUAUUCAGCCUCUAUUUUUUUCAAGGUGUUGGCAAUGUGUUAUGUAUAUAGAAAAGAGAAUUGAGAAAAUGGCGCAGCAAGCAAAGGUGUCAACAAGGGCUCAAGUUCUCAAACCCAAAGUCUCAGAGACACAAAUUCACAAACAGCUCAAGGGCUUAAAUUUUAGCAGCAAUGGGGACUAAUUGUAAUGGUAUGAGCCUCGAGAUUUGUGGGUUUUCUUUCUGGCAGUCAGCACACGAGCG